GGGGCGCCCUUCUCCCUGCCGCCGCCCUGAGGGAAAUGGCGGUGCCGGGGGAGAAGGGAAGGCAUUUCCCCAUAGUCCUCCCUGCCAUGAGAGGCCGAAGGAAGAGUAAAGCCGCAUGGCGCUUCUGGUGGGGGACGCGAUCCGUCAAAGCGCGAUGCUUGUCUUUGUGCCGAGGAUGGCUGAUUUACAGUGAUGUUCUUGGAAUACCCUAUGAUCCUGAUGCUUUUUUGCUGAAGUACAUGCAGCCAAGGAUGCAUCGCCUUGUCUGAGCUCCUGCAGAGCAGCUCAAGAGCCAGCUUGUCAGGGUUUUGGAGAGGAUAUGAAAU
rnacentral:lncRNA from 14 species